AGCACGAGCUGAGGGCAACACUGCAGAACGCCACGGCUCAGCGAGUUCGGUGAGCAUCAAAGGCCGACCCCAGUGCGGGAGAUCUGAGGCACGCCACGCCACGACUCUCUGCACGGCCCUACGUCGAGUCGACUUCAGAUUAGGACCACCGCUCUCUCCUCACGGCCCAUGGAGACACACUUACACAGUGCCACUCAGUGAUAAAUCCCCGCAGGCUACAGGCCUCAUUGGCGACAGCUUCUGAAAACAACUCUGACACUUUUUUCUGCAAAGUUUGACGCGUUGUCACCGAGGUCGAUGAGGCUGUCCUCUCACCUGAUUGUCAGAGUGUGACAUAGCCUACGUGGAGAAAGGGAACAGGGUUCUUCCAAAAUACUUCAGAAUCGAGAGGCGUUGUUGUUGUGUGGGCUGGCGGGAUGAUUGUGAAACUGCUUCGGGGGUUUAUCAGACCAAAGUCAUCAUCAGGGUGUUAUGCCUGGGCGUGAAGACAAACGACGACUGAUGGCAUGGUCUUCCAAGCGCCAUUGUUCAGUGUGCGUCAUCCUGGUUACCUGACAGGCACUACCUGAUACGCCAUGAGACUUGACCUCACUUGGCUCUGCCCAGCAGCGGCCUGCUUUUCUAAAAAUGAAUAAAACUGCUUUCUGUCUUUCUUUUACUUUGGAGUAAUGUUCCUAAAAAAUGUCCUGAUAGCACAAAAGCCCUCCACUACGACCAGCAGUGUGUCAGAGACUUCAGCUGGGC